GCGAGUGGCGAACUGGUGAGUAACACGUGGGAAUCUGCCCAGAAGCAGGGGAUAACACUUGGAAACAGGUGCUAAUACCGUAUAACAACAAAAUCCGCAUGGAUUUUGUUUGAAAGGUGGCUUCGGCUAUCACUUCUGGAUGAUCCCGCGGCGUAUUAGUUAGUUGGUGAGGUAAAGGCCCACCAAGACGAUGAUACGUAGCCGACCUGAGAGGGUAAUCGGCCACAUUGGGACUGAGACACGGCCCAAACUCCUACGGGAGGCAGCAGUAGGGAAUCUUCCACAAUGGACGAAAGUCUGAUGGAGCAAUGCCGCGUGAGUGAAGAAGGGUU
rnacentral:rRNA from 1 species